rnacentral:rRNA from 1 species
AUGCCACCGGGCGACCGGAUGCGGAUCUCGAAAGCCUGUCCCAGUUCGGACUGGAGUCUGCAACCCGACUCCACGAAGUUGGAUUCGCUAGUAAUCGCGCAUCAGCCAUGGCGCGGUGAAUACGUUCCCGGGUCUUGUACACACCGCCCGUCACACCAUGGGAGUCGGAAAUGCCCGAAGUCGGUGACCUAACUGAAAGGAAGGAGCCGCCGAAGGCAGGUCUGGUGACUGGGGUGAAGUCGUAACAAGGUAAC